GGUCNANANNAGNAUUGCUUCUCUUGAGAGCGGCGGACGGGUGAGUAAUGCCUAGGAAANNGCCUGGUAGUGGGGGAUAACGUUCGGAAACGGACGCUAAUACCGCAUACGUCCUANGGGAGAAAGCAGGGGACCUUCGGGCCUUGCGCUAUCAGAUGAGCCUAGGUCGGAUUAGCUAGUUGGUGAGGUAAUGGCUCACCAAGGCGACGAUCCGUAACUGGUCUGAGAGGAUGAUCAGUCACACUGGAACUGAGACACGGUCCAGACUCCUACGGGAGGCAGCAGUGGGGAAUAUUGGACAAUGGNCGAAAGCCUGAUCCAGCCAUGCCGCGUGUGUGAAGAAGGUCUUCGGAUUGUAAAGCACUUUAAGUUGGGAGGAAGGGUUGUAGAUUAAUACUCUGCAAUUUUGACGUUACCGACAGAAUAAGCACCGGCUAACUCUGUGCCAGCAGCCGCGGUAAUACAGAGGGUGCAAGCGUUAAUCGGGAAUUACUGGGGCGUAAAGCGCGCGUAGGUGGUUUGNUNAGUUGGAUGUGAAAUCCCCGGGCUCAACCUGGGGAACUGCAUUCAAAACUGACUGACUAAAGUAUGGAAGUAG
rnacentral:rRNA from 1 species